ACACAUGCAAGUCGAGGGGCAGCAUGGUCUUAGCUUGCUAAGGCCGAUGGCGACCGGCGCACGGGUGAGUAACGCGUAUCCAACCUGCCUUACACUCUUGGACAGCCUUCUGUAAGGGAGAUUAAUACAAGAUGUUAUCAUGAGUAAGCAUUUUCGCAUGAUUAAAGGUUUACCGGUGUAAGAUGGGGAUGCGUUCCAUUAGAUAGUAGGCGGGGUAACGGCCCACCUAGUCUUCGAUGGAUAGGGGUUCUGAGAGGAAGGUCCCCCACAUUGGAACUGAGACACGGUCCAAACUCCUACGGGAGGCAGCAGUGAGGAAUAUUGGUCAAUGGAUGAGAGUCUGAACCAGCCAAGUAGCGUGAAGGAUGAAGGUUCUAUGGAUUGUAAACUUCUUUUAUACGGGAAUAAACGAAUCCACGUGUGGAUUUUUGCAUGUACCGUAUGAAUAAGGAUCGGCUAACUCCGUGCCAGCAGCCGCGGUAAUACGGAGGAUCCGAGCGUUAUCCGGAUUUAUUGGGUUUAAAGGGAGCGUAGAUGGGUUGUUAAGUCAGUUGUGAAAGUUUGCGGCUCAACCGUAAAAUUGCAAUUGAUACUGGCAGUCUUGAGUACAGUUGAGGUAGGCGGAAUUCGUGGUGUAGCGGUGAAAUGCUUAGAUAUCACGAAGAACUCCGAUUGCGAAGGCAGCUUACUAACCUGUAACUGACAUUGAUGCUCGAAAGUGUGGGUAUCAAACAGGAUUAGAUACCCUGGUAGUCCACACGGUAAACGAUGAAUACUCGCUGUAGGCGAUAUACAGUCUGCGGCCAAGCGAAAGCAUUAAGUAUUCCACCUGGGGAGUACGCCGGCAACGG
rnacentral:rRNA from 1 species